GUCUUAUUGAUUAUAAUUNUAAGUCGAUCUGCCCAAUGAAAAGGUUUAAUGGCUGCAGUAUACCUGACUGUGCAAAGGUAGCAUAAUAAUUUGAUUUUUAAAUGAAAUCUGGAAUGAAAGAAUUAAUGAAAUAUAUACUGUCUCUUAUUUAUAAUAUGAAUUUAAAUUUUUAAUAAAAAUGUUAAAAUUUUUUUAUGGGACGAUAAGACCCUAUAGAAUUUUAUAUUUAAUUAAUUUUAUAUAAAUAAUAUAAAAUUUAAUUAAAUAUUUAAUUGGGAGAAUUAUUAAAUUUAAUAAAUUUUAAUAAAAAUAAACUUUAAUUAAAGAAAAUAUUUUGAUCUUUAAAUUAAAAUAAAUAGAUUAAAUUACCUUAGGGAUAACAGCGUAAUAUUUUUUUAUAGAUCGUAUAGAAAAAAAUGAUUGCGACCUCGAUGUUGAAUUAAGAUAAAUUUUAAAUGCAGGAGUUUAAUGAUUAAGUCUGUUCGACUUUUAAAAUCUUACAUGAUUUGAGUUCAAAUCGACGUAAGU
rnacentral:rRNA from 1 species